rnacentral:misc_RNA from 1 species
UCCGAUUCGUCACCGGCAGUCUCCCAUGAGUCCCCGUCUUUCAUGCUGGCAACAUAGGGCGAGGGUUGCGCUCGUUGCGGGACUUAACCCAACAUCUCACGACACGAGCUGACGACAGCCAUGCACCACCUGUACACCGACAAAAAGGGGCCUCAUCUCUGAGGCUUUCCGGCGUAUGUCAAACCCAGGUAAGGUUCUUCGCGUUGCAUCGAAUUAAUCCGCAUGCUCCACCGCUUGUGCGGGCCCCCGUCAAUUCCUUUGAGUUUCAGCCUUGCGGCCGUACUCCCCAGGCGGGGCACUUACUGCGUUAGCGACGGCACCGGGAGGGUCGCUCCCCCCGACGCCUAGUGCCCAUCGUUUACGGCGUGGACUAC